GAGAAAGUAGAGAUUUAUUAAGAGAUUUGGAGAGAGAGAGAGAGAGAGAGAGAGGAGAGAGAGGAGAAGAGGCGACUCGAAUAGGUAGAGAGCGAGGUGGAGAGAGAGAGAGAGGGAGAGAGUGGGGGGAGGAGAAAAAUGGCGGAGAAUGGCGGGGACAAGAUCACGAUCGGCGUGUGCGUCAUGGAAAAGAAGGUGUCCUCCUCUCCCAUGGAGCAGAUUCUUGAACGGCUCCGAGCGUUCGGCGAAUUUGAGAUUAUAUUCUUUGGUGACAAGGUUAUUCUUGAGGAUCCAGUUGAGAGCUGGCCAAUUUGUGAUUGCUUGAUUGCCUUCUAUUCAUCUGGUUAUCCACUCAAAAAAGCUGAGAAAUAUGCAGCCCUACGAAGGCCUUUUCUAGUCAAUGAAUUGGAGUCGCAGCAUCUUCUCCAUGAUCGCCGCAAAGUUUAUGAGUGCUUGGAAGCAUUUGGUAUUCCUGUUCCAAAUUAUGUUCUGGUGAAUAGAGAGUAUCCUUGUCAAGAACUAGACUACUUUGUUGAGCAAGAAGAUUUUGUUGAGGUUCAUGGGAAGCGGUUUUGGAAGCCUUUUGUGGAGAAACCUAUCGAUGGGGAUGACCACAGCAUAAUGAUAUACUAUCCUAGUUCCGCUGGUGGAGGAAUGAAGGAGUUGUUUCGAAAGGUUGGCAAUCGCUCCAGCGAGUUUCAUCCAGAGGUUAGGAGAGUGCGUCGUGAGGGAUCUUACAUUUACGAGGAAUUCAUGCCCACUGGGGGAACAGAUGUCAAGGUAUAUACAGUUGGCCAAGAGUAUGCACAUGCUGAAGCACGCAAAUCUCCUGUUGUUGAUGGCGUUGUUAUGAGGAAUCCUGAUGGAAAAGAGGUGAGAUAUCCUGUACUAUUAACUCCGGCAGAGAAACACAUGGCAAGGGGUGUUUGUCAUGCUUUCAGGCAAGCGGUGUGUGGCUUUGAUCUCUUAAGGUGUGAAGGAAGAUCCUAUGUGUGUGAUGUGAAUGGGUGGAGUUUUGUGAAGAAUUCACACAAAUACUAUGAUGAUGCUGCAUGCAUUUUGAGGAAAAUGUUUCUUGAUGCCAAAGCUCCUCAUCUGUCAUCUACUAUUCCUCCUAGUCUUCCGUGGAAAUGUAACGAACCAGUCCAACCUUCUGAAGGCCUGACACGACAAGGAAGUGGAAUUAUUGGCACAUUUGGUCAAUCGGAGGAACUCCGUUGUGUGAUAGCUAUUAUCCGCCAUGGUGAUCGGACUCCAAAGCAGAAGGUAAAAUUGAAGGUUACGGAGGAAAAGCUUCUAAAUUUAAUGUUGAAGUAUAAUGGUGGAAAGCCAAGAGCUGAGACAAAGCUCAAAAGUGCUGUUCAGUUACAAGAUCUGCUAGAUGCUACAAGAAUACUAGUUCCACGUACUAGGUCUGGGCGUGAAAGUGAUAGUGAUGCUGAAGAUUUAGAGCAUGCUGAAAAACUUCGUCAAGUCAAAGCAGUGCUGGAGGAGGGUGGACAUUUCUCAGGAAUUUACAGGAAAGUUCAACUAAAGCCUUUAAAAUGGGUUAAAGUUCCCAAAAGUAAUGGUGAUGGUGAAGAGGAGCGACCUGUUGAAGCUCUAAUGGUUCUCAAGUACGGUGGGGUGCUUACUCAUGCUGGAAGAAAGCAGGCUGAAGAGUUGGGAAGAUUCUUCAGGAACAACAUGUAUCCAGGUGAAGGAACUGGCUUGCUUCGCCUUCAUAGCACUUACCGACAUGAUCUGAAGAUAUACAGCUCAGACGAGGGGCGUGUCCAGAUGUCUGCAGCAGCAUUUGCCAAAGGCCUUCUUGAUUUAGAGGGGCAGCUAACUCCCAUUCUGGUUUCACUUGUUAGUAAAGACUCAUCCAUGCUAGAUGGACUGGAAGAUGCUAGCAUUGAGAUGGAUGAAGCGAAGGCUAGAUUACAUGAUAUUAUCAUCUCUGAAUCUAAAGCACUAAAUGGCAAUGGAUCUGUGCAAUUUCCAUGGAUGGUCGAUGGUGCUGGCCUGCCUACAAAUGCAUCUCAACUUCUUCCCAAAUUGGCUACAUUGACAAAGAAAAUAACUGCACAAGUGAAGUUGCUUGCUCAAGAUGAAGAUGACAAACUUGCGAAGACAAGCUCCUUGUCUGCAUUAUCUCCAUACGACCAGGCAAAGGCUCUGGGGAAAACAACAAUUGAUGUGGCUCGCAUUGCUGCUGGAUUGCCCUGUGGUAGUGAAGGCUUCCUUUUGAUGUUCGCUCGCUGGAAGAAGCUAGAAAAAGACUUAUAUAAUGAACGAAAAGACCGAUUCGACAUUACACAAAUUCCAGAUGUGUAUGAUUCUUGCAAAUAUGACCUCCUACAUAAUGCCCAUCUCAAUCUUGAAGGUCUAGCUGAGCUCUUGAAAGUCGCUCAGUUGCUUGCCGAUGGCGUUAUACCAAACGAGUAUGGAAUUAAUCCAAAACAGAAACUCAAAAUUGGCUCAAAGAUAGCCCGUCGUUUGUUGGGCAAGAUUUUGAUCGACUUGCGUAACACUCGAGAAGAGGCUAUCAGUGUUGCUGAGCCAAAAUCCAAUCAUAGUCAAACUUCAGCCUUAUGUAAGACAAAGAAAGAGGAGACAGAUAAGCAACAAAAGCCUACAAACAAGAAUGAGGAUGGUAGAAGAUCUAGCUCCACAAGUGAAAAGUCACUGGACCAAGAUGACGAUGAUGAUAAAGAAACCCAAUAUCGCUUAGAUCCGAAGUAUGCAAAUGUGAAAACACCAGAGCGACACGUUCGUACAAGGCUUUAUUUCACAUCAGAAUCUCAUAUACACUCUUUAAUGAAUGUUCUUCGCUAUUGCAACCUGGAUGAAUCACUGCAAGGAGAGGAUAGCCUUGUUUGCCAAAGUGCCUUGGAGCGGCUAUUUAAAACAAGGGAACUUGAUUACAUGAGCUAUAUUGUUUUAAGGAUGUUUGAAAACACAGAGGUAGCAGCUCUAGAAGAUCCGAAGAGGUUCCGAAUAGAGAUGACAUUUAGCCGUGGUGCCGAUUUAAGCCCUUUAGAGAGUGAUGGUGGGGAAGCUUCUUUGUUGCAUCAAGAACACACAUUGCCUAUAAUGGGACCAGAGAGGUUGCAGGAAGCUGGGUCAUAUCUCACGCUUGACAAGUUUGAAAAGAUGGUCCGGCCAUUCGCUAUGCCGGCUGAGGACUUUCCGCCUCCUGCCCCUUCCCAAGCUUUCUCAGGCUACUUCUCGAAAAGUGCCGGAGUGCUAGAACGUUUGAGUGCUUGUGAGGAGGACUGCAAAUUGAACACCAAGAGGAAGUUUGAGCCUUGGACUUUGGGUUUUCCAAAGGAACCAAAGAAAAGUUGAGCAGGUAUGGCCAUUAGGGGAACUGAGCUAUCCGCAUCCUCGAGAGACUGGAGACGACGAGUAUAAGAGCGAGGUAGGCUAAAACACUCGGUAUCAAACAGAAGUUGAAGGCAAAGAAAGCAUCCUAGCCUGGUGAAUUUCAGGUUGCUCGGUGUUUGAAGGUGCUUUUUAACAGUCUUCUCCUCGGCCCCAUUCAGGAGCGCAAUGGGCCUGCAGACAGUCUGUGGUCGUAUGGGUUGGAGAUGGUCCAGUCGGUAUUUGUACAGUUUUUAAUAGCUCGUAGGAAUUUAUCUGCGUCAAUUUUUGCUUCUAAUGCCCCGAUCUAACUCGUCGAUUAUGCCUGUGCAGUCUCCCUGGCAUGUGUGGUUGAUAUUUAUAUUCUAAAGCUUAAUGAUGGAUAAUAAUAAUUUCAGAGGAAAGAAAGAGGCUUGAUUAUAGAUGCUUUGAUCUAGUUGUCGAACUAUUUAUUUGAUUCUUCACCGUCUUGCAUGUUUUCGGUAUCCAUUUUCACCUUCAACUUGGAUGGAAAAUGAUGGGCUUGGUUUAUGUUUCUGCAGGAGAACAUAAUCAUCGAAAACAGAUCUGGUAAUAAAUCUCUCUGAAUUCUAAGCAAGGGGCUCUGUUUUUGCACAUGGGCGCUUUCUCUACGACGGAGGCGCUUUCUCUACAAAUGAAAAUUGUCUACUCCUGAUUCCUGGGUGACAAAAGAGCCAACCAAACAAACCCCACGAUGCUUUUACAGAUAAGCAGGAAAAAUAAAGUCGUUGCAGGAAAAAUAAAGUCGUUUUAUCUGAUAAUGAACAAAUGUAAUGUAAUAACUUUUGUUAGCAAUGGGCUUUUUUUGCAAA